AUGGAUUCUCCUGGGGGCCGGGAUCGGAUGGCUUCUUGGAAGAAACUACCAUCUCCUUCAGCAAAAAGCAUGAAGGAAGUUGCUUCGCCAAAGGAACUUAAUGAUAGGAAGGCUGAACCUUUGAAAAUGUCGAACAAUAGGAAAGCAGUUUCUGAUGCAGAUCUAAUUGCUGCUAAGCUUUCAGAGCUUCCUAUAGCCAAAGAUUCACAUGCAAAUUCUACAAAGCACCAACACAAAGUUUCUUGGGGUUAUUGGGGUGAUCAGCAGAAUGUUUCUGAUGAUAGUUCAAUAAUUUGUCGCAUUUGUGAGGA
rnacentral:misc_RNA from 1 species